ACGAGAGUGACUAUGAAUCUCUUAUGGUAGUUCAAUGCCUCAUCAUCUAAUUAGUGACAUGUGUGAAUUGGUUAACAAUAUUCCCACUGUCCCUAGAUACUAUAUAUAUAAACCACAUGCAAUGAAUAUUAU
rnacentral:ncRNA from 1 species